rnacentral:rRNA from 1 species
AACGAACGCUGGCGGCGUGCUUAACACAUGCAAGUCGAACGCGAAAGUCCCUUCGGGGGUGAGUAGAGUGGCGCACGGGAGAGUAACGCGUAAGAACGUGCCUAAGGGUGGGGAAUAACCUCGGGAAACCGUGGCUAAUACCGCAUAAUAUCGCAAGAUCAAAGGGGGCCUCUGCUUGCAAGCUCCCGCCGUUAGAGCGGCCUACGUCCUAUUAGCUGGUUGGUAGGGUAAAAGCCUACCAAGGCAAUGAUGGGUAACUGGUCUGAGAGGAUGAUCAGUCACACUGGAACUGAGACACGGUCCAGACUCCUACGGGAGGCAGCAGUGGGGAAUCUUGCACAAUGGGCGAAAGCCUGAUGCAGCAACGCCGCGUGGGUGAAGAAGGUCUUCGGAUUGUAAAGCCCUUUCGGCUGGGAAGAAGGGCGAAGUUGUUAACACCAACCUCGUCUGACGGUACCAGAAGAAGAAGCACCGGCUAAUUCCGUGCCAGCAGCCGCGGUAAUACGGAAGGUGC